GCCACUUGCUUCAGACCUGAUCCAGACAAAAGUUUUCUUCAUCCAGCAAUCGUGCCGUAUUAACGCUCAACUACAUGACGACAAACGCACUCCAUGGUCACUCAAAUGUGCCACAGCACUUAAGACCGAAGACAGAGUAGAUCUCCUCCAUCGCCACUCGCCACCUACGCUCCGCUGAUGCCAACCUUCUCACCUCCAUCACCAAGACCAAGUAUCGCACCAUGGGGGACAGAGCCUUCGCCAUCGCCGCCCCUACCCUCUGGAACUCCCUACCUCUGGCUCAUACAAUUGUUUCCAACAGGGACAUUUGAUCAUUGAUCCUAUGAGACCAGGGGUCUAACUACGAAGAAAGUUCCAAAUACCCAAGAUAUAUUUUUGCUAGCUGGCUACACUAAGCCUAAAAACCGCACUGAGGGGCAACAAUCGGAUAUAUGGACAAGUCUUCCAGAGCUGCAUAUUUUGACAAGAUGAGCAAAGUAAGCUAUAAUAUUGAACAAAUAUUACCAGCAAGGGCAGGAAGGAAAGCUGGAAAAAAUUGCAGAUUGUGUGAAUGUGUGCUUAUCACUGCCCCAUCAUUAAGUCAUGAGUAGAUCUUACCGUAAUUACAAGUGUGUAUUCCAUGAAAUAAAUGUGUUGCUUAGAUGUGUUAAAAGAAAGACAAUUGUAACCUAAUUAUUUCACAGCGAUAAACCGUCUUGGGAGCAAAUAAAGAACUUGCUCAGAGAA